rnacentral:rRNA from 1 species
AGUGAACGCUGGCGGUAGGCCUAACACAUGCAAGUCGAACGGCAGCACAGUAAGAGCUUGCUCUUACGGGUGGCGAGUGGCGGACGGGUGAGGAAUACAUCGGAAUCUACUUUUUCGUGGGGGAUAACGUAGGGAAACUUACGCUAAUACCGCAUACGACCUACGGGUGAAAGCAGGGGAUCUUCGGACCUUGCGCGAUUGAAUGAGCCGAUGUCGGAUUAGCUAGUUGGCGGGGUAAAGGCCCACCAAGGCGACGAUCCGUAGCUGGUCUGAGAGGAUGAUCAGCCACACGGGAACUGAGACACGGUCCAGACUCCUACGGGAGGCAGCAGUGGGGAAUAUUGGACAAUGGGCGCAAGCCUGAUCCAGCCAUACCGCGUGGGUGAAGAAGGCCUUCGGGUUGUAAAGCCCUUUUGCUGGGAAAGAAAAGCAGCAGGUUAAUACCCCGCUGUUCUGACGGUACCCAAAGAAUAAGCACCGGCUAACUUCGUG